UGCAGCAGGUGAUGGUGUCCUGCUUUAGAAUUUCUGGCUCAAGGGCUCUCUGUUUUCCUGGAGGAGAGACAAGGAUGGUUACAGGUACAA